rnacentral:rRNA from 1 species
UACGGAGGGGGCUAGCGUUGUUCGGAAUCACUGGGCGUAAAGCGCGCGCAGGCGGCCUCUUAAGUCUGAUGUGAAAGCCCACGGCUCAACCGUGGAGGGUCAUUGGAAACUGGGGGGCUUGAGUGCAGAAGAGGAGAGCGGAAUUCCACGUGUAGCGGUGAAAUGCGUAGAGAUGUGGAGGAACACCAGUGGCGAAGGCGGCUCUCUGGUCUGUAACUGACGCUGAGGCGCGAAAGCGUGGGGAGCGAACAGG